ensembl:snRNA U6 U6 spliceosomal RNA
AUGCUCCCUUUGGUAGCACGUAUACUAAAAUUGGAAUGAUACAGAGAAUAUUAGCAUAGCCCCUGGGAAAGGAUGAUAUGCAAUUUGUGGAGCAUUCCAUAUUAAA